CCGGUUGAUCCCGCCAGAGGUCACUGCUAUUGGGAUUCGACUAAGCCAUGCGAGUCGCGAGGGUUCGGCCCUCGGCUGACGGCUCAGUAACACGCGGAUAAUCUGCCCUUAGGUGGAGGAUAACCUCGGGAAACUGAGAAUAACACUCCAUAGAUCUAGGAGGCUGGAAUGCACUUAGACCAAAAACUUCGGUGCCUAAGGAUGAGUCUGCGGACUAUCAGGUAGUAGUCAGGGUAAUGACCUGACCAGCCUACGACGGAUACGGGUUGUGAGAGCAAUAACCCGGAGAUGAUAUCUGAGACACGAUAUCAGGCCCUACGGGGCGCAGCAGGCGCGAAAACUUCACACUGUGCGAAAGCACGAUGAGGGAAUCCCAAGUGCUGGCUCGUAAGAGUCAGCUGUUUUUCUGUCUAGAAAACAGAGAGAGUAAGGGCUGGGUAAGACGGGUGCCAGCCGCCGCGGUAAUACCUGCAGCCCGAGUGGUGGCCGCUAUUAUUGGGCCUAAAACGUCCGUAGCCGGUCUAGUAAAUGCCUGGGUAAAUCGUACGGCUUAACCGUACGAAUUCCGGGUAGACUGCUGGACUUGGGACUGGGAGAGGCUAGAGGUACUCCUGGGGUAGAGGUGAAAUUCUGUAAUCCUAGGGGGACGACCAGUGGCGAAGGCGUCUAGCUAGAACAGGUCUGACGGUGAGGGACGAAGCCCUGGGGCGCAAACGGGAUUAGAUACCCCGGUAGUCCAGGGUGUAAACGCUGCUUGCUUGAUGUUAGUCGGGCUCCGAGCCCGAUUAGUGUCGGAGAGAAGUUGUUAAGCAAGCUGCCUGGGGAGUACGGCCGCAAGACUGAAACUUAAAGGAAUUGGCGGGGGAGCACCGCAACGGGUGGAGCGUGCGGUUUAAAUGGAUUCAACGCCGG
rnacentral:rRNA from 1 species